rnacentral:lncRNA from 1 species
AUGAUGAAGAACGAGAAUCGAAAUUGGAUUAACAAUUGGCAUGAAAAUCAAGAUGCAACAGGAGUUGUCCGAUUUGAUUUUAUGACUAUGUGAUGUAAAGUUAUCAACCGACUUUAAUUUAAUUUAGUCUAAUAUUUUAAUUCAACAUGGGAUAAAUAGACUUUUAGUAUUUUUUUUAAUAUAAAAGCGAUGUUUAGUCCCACAUCUAUUAUUUUAUUUUUUUAUUUUUUCCAGU